UAGAUUGGGAUGAAGCGAAAUAAAUUAAUUCAACACUUGAUCUGAGAUAUUCAUUAUUGAUUAAACGACUUGUUACUAAAUCUAU